AGAGUUUGAUCCUGGCUCAGGAUGAACGCUAGCUACAGGCUUAACACAUGCAAGUCGAGGGGAAACGACAUCGAAAGCUUGCUUUUGAUGGGCGUCGACCGGCGCACGGGUGAGUAACGCGUAUCCAACCUGCCCACCACUUGGGGAUAACCUUGCGAAAGUAAGGCUAAUACCCAAUGACGUCUCUAGAAGACAUCUGAAGGAGAUUAAAGAUUUAUCGGUGAUGGAUGGGGAUGCGUCUGAUUAGCUUGUUGGCGGGGUAACGGCCACAAGGCGACGAUCAGUAGGGGUUCUGAGAGGAAGGUCCCCCANAUUGGAACUGAGACACGGUCCAAAUCCUACGGGAGCA
rnacentral:rRNA from 1 species